AGCUUUGCACAGUGGCAUUAUUGUAGCCAAUGAGGUUUAUCUGAGGUGUGAUUAUUGUUAAUUGAAAAAAAAAAGGAAUUUUUUUUCAUGUGUUUUUAUUUGAAUGAAAACAUAUCAGUAAUUACCUAGACUUAUUUUUAUAA